UACGUAGGGGGCUAGCGUUGCUCGGAAUCAUUGGGCGUAAAGGGUGCGUAGGCGGGCCUUUAAGUCAGGGGUGAAAUCCUGGAGCUCAACUCCAGAACUGCCUUUGAUACUGAGGAUCUUGAGUUCGGGAGAGGUGAGUGGAACUGCGAGUGUAGAGGUGAAAUUCGUAGAUAUUCGCAAGAACACCAGUGGCGAAGGCGGCUCACUGGCCCGAUACUGACGCUGAGGCACGAAAGCGUGGGGAGCAAACAGG
rnacentral:rRNA from 1 species